rnacentral:rRNA from 1 species
AGAUUGAACGCUGGCGGCGUGCCUAACACAUGCAAGUCGAACGGGAGUAGCAAUACUCUAGUGGCGGACGGGUGAGGAAUACGUAGGAAUUUGCCCUUAAGUGGGGGAUAACCCGGGGAAACCCGGAUUAAUACCGCAUGACCUCGAAAGAGCGAAGUGGGGGAUCGCAAGACCUCACGCUUUUGGAGAAGCCUACGUCGGAUUAGCUAGUUGGUGAGGUAAUGGCUCACCAAGGCGACGAUCCGUAACUGGUCUGAGAGGAUGAUCAGUCACACCGGAACUGAGACACGGUCCGGACUCCUACGGGAGGCAGCAGUGGGGGAAUAUUGGACAAUGGGCGCAAGCCUGAUCCAGCAAUGCCGCGUGUGUGAAGAAGGCCUUGGGUUGUAAAGCAAC